rnacentral:lncRNA from 1 species
AACCUCCAGAGAAGAUUGAGCUGGGUCUAGUACCAGAAAUGGAAGUGGGCAAGCAGUAUAAUCUAACAUGCCGGGUUUCUGGUGUAGCCCCCAUCCGGAACCUCACCGUGACCUUGCUGAAGGGGAAGAGCAACUUCUGGUAAAGACCUUUGAGGAUCAUACCCACCCUGAGGCUGGUACUGUUGUGGUGAAUCAUCACAUAAUAGCUCAGAAAGAUGACCACAGCAAGACAAUCACCUGCCAAACAUCUCUGGAUCUGGGACCAAAAGGACCACUCCUGGAAAACACCUCCCACAGCAUAUCAUUGUGGAUUUUGGAAACCCAUUUGGCUAUCAUUGUAGCUGUUACUGCUGUUGCUGCUUUGCUAGUCUCUGUGCUGAUGGUCUUUCUCAUCUUCAUCAUUAAACGUAUCAUUUAAUGCAAUGGAAAGGGCAACUCAAUGAAUCUACACACACACACACACACACACACAUAUGUAUAAUUUGAGAAGAGUGAUCAAAGUAGAUGUUCCGUUUCACGAACAUCUCAUUUGCAAGGAAUAAUGAAUCACAAUAAUGAAUCACUUUGUAUACGGAAAGAAUAUUAAAAACUCACAAUAUGAUAUCCAGGGUUCAUCUUGAGUCUGUGGAAAUUGGAAUCAAGAAAAUGUGUCCCACUCUCUGACACUCUUCUUCCUGCUUGAAAUGUCCCCUUACAAGGUACUAAAGCUGCAAUGAUUGGCUAGUGAGAUGGAUUCUCAUCAAUUCAUAGCUUGAAGGACUGUUUAAAUUUGAGGAUUUUUUGAUAAUUAUAACAUGAGCAAUGAUCAUUCAUAUAUUUUUACAAGGACCAUACUUCCUAGAAGAUGCACAUGUGAAAGGAAUGCCAAUAAUCAUGUAUGAUAAAUUCAUUCUUUUAAUAAACUAACAGAGCAAUACUAUAUUCAUGUAAAUUCACUUUCCCUUCCCAUAGUAUAUAUAAUAUCACAGAUGAAGUGAAUAAUGCAUUUAUUAGCAAUGUAACUCUGUAAUUAUAACACUUUGAGAGCAAGCAGUGAAAUACAAAUGUAUACAAAAUUGGGGACAUUUGCUGCAAAAAAACCCAGCGAAGUGGAGCAUCAGGACAUAAAUUAGCACAAUGAAAUCAAUGCUCAUUUUGUAUCCAACAAUAUUAAUAUUCUAUAUUUCCAGGUAUUCAGAAUAUUUUUUUCAGUAUCUAGCCACAGAAAUUUAAUGGAACAGGACAAUAGCCCAAAUCUGAAUACCUGAAAACUGGUCUUAAGGAGGAAUGAAAAUGUACAGCAAUAAUUUAGUGGAUCAGGGAAUAAGAAUUUAUGAUAGCCAAGUAGACCAGAGAUAAGAAGAAAAACAAUAUAUGCCACAAAAAUUAUAACUGUAAGAAUAACAUCAUAGUACAUAUUGUAAAUGCAACACAACAACCACUGUUAUAAAGACUACCUUACACCACACUGUGUAUGGUAGACUUUCCACCAACAAGUUGCUUUCUCAUUUUAAUUAGUUAAAGAAACAUAGCCCUUAGGAGAGUUACUCCUGAAAUUGUAUCUUCCAAUGGUUGUUUAGCAUAACCUCAAGGAUUUUACAUAGCAAGCAGUCUAUAAAGGAGUGAACAAUUGCUCUUGGACUGCAAAGUAAAAUAAGAGAAGAAAGAAUUUUUUUCAGCUUCUUGUGUUUUACAUGGACAACCCUUGAAAGGCUGAAGAAUUCCUGCAGAACUUUUCUGCAGAACUUGGGAGGGAAGGCUAUUCCAUCAGGCCUGGCUAUUCAGUAGAUGAUAACAUGUCCCUCAAGGCAGUGUUCUAGGACCAACUCUCUUCAUACUCUACAUAAAUGACCUCUGUGAUCAUAUUAAGAGCAAUUGCGUUCUCUUCGCUGAUGAUGUAAAGCUAUUCAACAUCACAGAUAAUUCUGCUAC